GAUGAACGCUGGCGGCGUGCCUAAUACAUGCAAGUCGAGCGAAUGGACGAGAAGCUUGCUUCUCUGAUGUUAGCGGCGGACGGGUGAGUAACACGUGGAUAACCUACCUAUAAGACUGGGAUAACUUCGGGAAACCGGAGCUAAUACCGGAUAAUAUUUUGAACCGCAUGGUUCAAAAGUGAAAGACGGUCUUGCUGUCACUUAUAGAUGGAUCCGCGCUGCAUUAGCUAGUUGGUAAGGUAACGGCUUACCAAGGCAACGAUGCAUAGCCGACCUGAGAGGGUGAUCGGCCACACUGGAGCUGAGACACGGUCCAGACUCCUACGGGAGGCAGCAGUAGGGAAUCUUCCGCAAUGGGCGAAAGCCUGACGGAGCAACGCCGCGUGAGUGAUGAAGGUCUUCGGAUCGUAAAACUCUGUUAUUAGGGAAGAACAUAUGUGUAAGUAACUGUGCACAUCUUGACGGUACCUAAUCAGAAAGCCACGGCUAACUACGUG
rnacentral:rRNA from 1 species